rnacentral:lncRNA from 1 species
CGAUGUUUUUUCCUUAACCUACGGUCAUAUGAGCUUGGGUGCCGAUUGGUUUGCACGACAUCAAGUUCCUAACGUGCAAAAUUGGCCUAAUAUUGUAAGAGACCAAUGGGGAAAUCUCCUUAUAACGUACUUUCUACCCAAACCGCAAAGAGAAAUGCUUAUCUACUCCAAUUCGAUUUAUGAUGAGAGACAAAAGAUUAAGAGGAGUAAGGGAGUGCAAGGUGGUAAUCCGAGAGUGGAAAAAGGAGAGGAUAU